UUAAUGUUGAUCAAGGUAUGAUGACUUGAGCUUGUUUUGCAAUUGCAACCAUGCAUUUUCUCGAGUCUUGAACACCAUGACAAGUUACAAUACCAUGGAAGUUAUAACAUCUUCAGUUCUUGAAUGAAAAUAUCAUCAGCAGAACUUUAGUACUGCAAAAACUUGUGAAAAAAGUCAAGCUUCCGGCCAACAUAUUUGCAUUAAAGUGAAGUAGUUUAAUGACUAGCUAGUGAUCCUCUUGAACUUAGAAAAGAUCCUUAGAAUUGAAUAUUUCAACUAAGGCAACAGUAGGCUUUCAUUACGACCAUGACACAUUUACCCACAUACUCUUCCAGUCAACAUCUUAAUCAUUCAUGAUCAAUUAUUUCAGCUACCAAAAAUUUUCAAUAAUGUCAUACUAGCAUGUAUUCUGGAAUUUGGAGACGACCAACAAUUGAAUUUGAGAAUGAAUGAAUUUAAUGCACUUUUCUUGGUACAUGUACCUUCUCACGCGACAUCAGCUAGUGAACGGGUUACAAUUUAUGUUAAAGGAGGUCAAAAUUACAUGUAAGGUGUGGUGAAAUUUUGCAGGAACACUGAAAGGGAAACUUGGAAAGGCAGCAUAUUUGGAAAAUUGGAUCACUACAAACACUUUUCUAGCAGCUGGUGAAACGGCAGCUGAUAUCACAUUUGAUUGGGAUGAGGACCAAGGAAUUCCAGGAGCUUUUAUCAUCAAAAAUAAUCAUCCAACUCAAUUCUACCUUAAGACAUUGACACUUGAAGAAGUUCCUGGACAUGGCCGAGUUCACUUUGUCUGCAAUUCUUGGGUUUAUCCAGCUGGAAAGUACAAAAAAGAUCGCGUAUUCUUCUCAAAUCAGGUAACUACUUGCAAAC
rnacentral:lncRNA from 1 species